rnacentral:rRNA from 1 species
CCUACGGGUGGCAGCAGUAAGGAAUAUUGGUCAAUGGACGCAAGUCUGAACCAGCCAUGCCGCGUGCAGGAUGAUGCCCUAUGGGUUGUAAACUGCUUUUGUACGGGAGGCGGUACCGUAAGAAUAAGGAUAGGCUAACUCCGUGCCAGCAGCCGCGGUAAUACGGAGGAGCCAAGCGUUAUCGGGAGUUAUUGGGUUUAAAGGGUGCGUAGGCGGCCUAUUAAGUCAGUGGUGAAAGCCUUCAGCUUAACUGCAGAACUGCCAUUGAUACUGAUGGGCUUGAGUACAGUUGAGGUUGGCGGAAUGUGUCAUGUAGCGGUGAAAUGCUUAGAUAUGACACAGAACACCGAUUGCGAAGGCAGCUAGCUAAACUGUACUGACGCUGAGGCACAAAAGCGUGGGUAGCAAACAGGAUUAGAUACCCUUGUAGUC